rnacentral:sRNA from 1 species
GCUGAUAAAUUAAUAUUUUGCAAUUUUAUUGCUUGAGGAUCUCUAAUUACAUUAGUAGUGAGUAUAAGUUUUUGGUUAAUAAUAGGUGGUAAUUCAUCUGUUUUCAGCUUUAAAGCAUCAAGUAUAGGUUUUAAACUAUCAGCCUGUAGCAGAAUAUUCGUUUUAUCUAAAUUAGAUUGAAUCUUGGUUAUCAAGUUACCUGGAUUUACAAUGA